GCAUGUGUUCAGGAACUUCCUGUCGGUCACUGCCUUCAAACCAGCCGUGUUGAGAGUUAUUUACAUCAUGGAGCCGGACAAGAAACAUCCACUCAAAGAUUUCUUCAGGGUGCGUGAAGUGGAGGAGCAGUGAGAUAAUAGUUAUCCCUCUCUGGCUGGACAGCUACCAGGCUCUUUCACUUUGGUGUUUAUACAAGAAGCAAGCCAAGAAGAUUUUUAUUUGUCAGAGAGAGAGAGCGCACAAGCAGAGGCGGCGGCAGGCAGAGGG